rnacentral:rRNA from 1 species
AGAUAAUAGAUACCCAGGUAGUCCAUGCCGUAAACGUUGGGAACUAGGUGUGGGUCUCAUUCCACGAGAUCCGUGCCGCAGCUAACGCAUUAAGUUCCCCGCCUGGGGAGUACGGCCGCAAGGCUAAAACUCAAAGGAAUUGACGGGGGCCCGCACAAGCGGCGGAGCAUGCGGAUUAAUUCGAUGCAACGCGAAGAACCUUACCAAGGCUUGACAUAUGCGAGAACGCGGCAGAGAUGUCGUUCUCUUUGGACACUCGCAUACAGGUGGUGCAUGGUUGUCGUCAGCUCGUGUCGUGAGAUGUUGGGUUUAAGUCCCGCAACGAGCGCAACCCUCGUUCUAUGUUGCCAGCACGUGAUGGUGGGGACUCAUAGGAGACUGCCGGGGUCAACUCGGAGGAAGGUGGGGAUGACGUCAAAUCAUCAUGCCCCUUAUGUCUUGGGCUUCACGCAUGCUACAAUGGCCGGUACAAAGGGCUGCGAUACCGCGAGGUGGAGCGAAUCCCAAAAAACCGGGUCUCAGUUC